rnacentral:rRNA from 1 species
CGGGACGGGUGAGUAAUGUCUGGGAAACUGCCUGAUGGAGGGGGAUAACUACUGGAAACGGUAGCUAAUACCGCAUAACGCCGCAAGACCAAAGAGGGGGACCUUCGGGCCUCUUGCCAUCGGAUGUGCCCAGAUGGGAUUAGCUAGUAGGUGGGGUAACGGCUCACCUAGGCGACGAUCCCUAGCUGGUCUGAGAGGAUGACCAGCCACACUGGAACUGAGACACGGUCCAG